rnacentral:lncRNA from 1 species
GCAGGUUGCAAGUCAGGUUGGAGUGGCGGCUCAGUUGGGUUCCAGCAAGGGCCCUCUUCCUGGUUUACAGACAGCAGCCUUCUUACUGUCUUUCAACCGGCCUAGACCUUCCCAAAGGAAAAGAUUCUUCCACUGGCUUUGAAGAAGCAAGCAUCCACAUUUUAAGAACAUGGGACCACAAUGCAAGGGCCUGAGUGAGGGUGGUCUCUAGGAGUUGAGAGCAGUUCAUGGCCAACAGCUAUCAAAAAUAUGGGGAGCUCAGCCAUGG